rnacentral:lncRNA from 1 species
CCCACCAGCACAAAGGCAGCAGUCCCUCCUUCCCCUUGGAGCUGCCCUACUCCUUCUCCUCUCCUUCUCCUCUCCCUGUUGAUGCUGAUGGCGCCCUUCCUCCUCUCCUCCCUUCUCCCAGCCAGGGCGCCCUCCCUUCCCAUCCUCACCUUGGAGAAAGCCCCCUCCUCUUGCAGCAAGCUAGGGCGCCCAUCUUCCCCUCCCUUUACUGCAGCAAGCAGCAACCCCUGCUCUAGUCUCCAAUGGUGCAUCUUCCAUGAAGAUUGGUCUUCCCCAUCUCUUCCUGCUUCCCUAGGGUUUGUGGGUGACCAAGGUGAGUUAGAUUUCGCCCUUCACUGAAUGAGUUUAGUGUUUAGGUAGAGUUUGGCCAUGGGAAUAAGUGGAUUAGUGAGGGAGAAAAGUUGUUGUAAUGUUGUUCCUCGGAUUUCAGAGUGACAGUUUCUGCAGAUUUUCUUAGGGAAGCAAUCAAGGCAACUUAGAUGACGAAAUAGGUGUUUUCGUCAACUACAAAGUUGUAGAGGACCUUCAGAUCUACUAUCUCGUGAAAUAUCAUGAUUUUAUCCCAUCAGGUUUGAGAGUUAUGAAUUUUCAAAGUUUGCUGUCAGGUUUGAACUGCAUGCUGUACAGAUCUGAAGUUUGGUGUGUUUUCGACCAUGUUAGUUCGAAAUUAGAUUUUGCUGAUAACUAGGAAAUUGUAGUGUUUUUCGUGACCUUUCCAAAUUGUUAAAGAACAAUAGUUUUGGUUGGUUUGAACUCCAGUUAUGUAUUUCUGAAGUUUAUAUCAGUUUUCUGUCCUAGUUUGUGCAGCGGUGCUUGUUUGUGUUUGUCUUCAAUCUUGUCCAC